GUGAAUCAUCGAAUUUUUGAACGCAAAUUGCACUCUCUUCGGAGAGUAUGACUAUUUGUGGGUCAGCCUAUAAAAAAUCGACAUCGUUGCUGUUUCUCGGUUGCGUUCGUCGGAAAUUGGGUUAUCUUAUCUUAUUUUGGUUUAAGUGACUUAAAAUUUUCUUUUUGGUUUCAUGAAUGUUUAUAUGAUUUAUGUCUUUAUACGUUUACGUUUUCGUUUUUUAUUUGACGU
rnacentral:misc_RNA from 1 species